rnacentral:rRNA from 1 species
AACGAACGCUGGCGGCAGGCUUAACACAUGCAAGUCGAACGCCCCGCAAGGGGAGUGGCAGACGGGUGAGUAACGCGUGGGAAUCUACCCAGAUCUACGGAACAACAGUUGGAAACGGCUGCUAAUACCGUAUACGCCCUACGGGGGAAAGAUUUAUCGGAUUUGGAUGAGCCCGCGUAAGAUUAGCUAGUUGGUGAGGUAAUGGCUCACCAAGGCGACGAUCUUUAGCUGGUCUGAGAGGAUGAUCAGCCACACUGGGACUGAGACACGGCCCAGACUCCUACGGGAGGCAGCAGUGGGGAAUAUUGGACAAUGGGCGCAAGCCUGGUCCAGCCAUGCCGCGUGAGUGAUGAAGGCCUUAGGGUUGUAAAGCUCUUUCACCGAUGAAGAUAAUGACGGUACCUGGAGAAAAAGCCCCGGCUAACUUCGUGCCAGCCGCCGCCGUAAGAC